UCGUUCUGGAUAAAAGAUAAAAAGGCAGCCAUUCUUACUCCAACCUUGCUUUUGUCGUGACGUGACUUAUUUUUUGGGUAAAAAAUGUAGUUUUUUUAGAAAUUUGAGAUAAAGUGGGGGUGGGGGUGGUGAACUGGACAUAAUGUAGCUUCUGGCAUAGUGGAAAAAUCUGGUUUCAAGUUAUUAAUGGUGGUUGUUGGAAGUGAAAAUUAGUGAAGUAUCGAGGCAUGGAAAUCAAUUGGUUAGAAUUAAAUGGUGGCUUCCGGAAUAGUGGAAAAACCUGGUUUCAAGUUAUUAAUCGUGGUCCGUGCAAGUGAAAAUUUUGUAGUAUCGAGAAAGCCAGGAUUGGAGCCUAAAUCCGUUAGAAUUGGAAGUUAAUGGGGCACUUUUUGUACAAAAUUGCGUAAAUGGGAAAGCUUGGAGUCGGAAAUGGAUUAAAAUGGGAUGUCAAAAAGAAGUUAGAAAUCUUGGACUCGAAAAUAAAGUAAAAUUACAAAUGGACGUCAAAAAGUGCUUAUCUGCAAUUCCGUUAUCAUUAAAUUGAAUUCAAGUUCGACUAUGUAUUCACCUAGACACCUUAUCCCGUUACGGAACACUAAUUAAUUAAAUUAAAAUAAUUUCUACAAAAGAAAUUCCAGAUUAAAAUGCGGAGAAGAAUGUGCUGCCGGGAAUGACAAAGAGAAGAUAAAAUGGACAAAAUGCAGCCGAUAAGUUUCCUACUUAUUAGAUAAGACCUUAGUUAAUUUAGUCAGUUAAUUAGCAAAUCCACCAGGUGUGCUUAUUUAGUGGCGGAUUUACACAUACAUACAACAUUUCAUUCACAAUUACAUUUUACAUUCACCACAAAAGAUACAAAAACCAUACUUAGAAAUCUAUCUUUCUUUUAAAAAUCCUGAAAAGCUUCUUGAUAAUUCUUGGAAAACGUGAAAUUUGAAAAAAUAUUGCAGCAUUUUUUAAUUAGAUUCGCCACUUUUAAAAACUAGUUAGUUCUUUUACGAAAGUCGUAAAGUUUAUGUUUUGAAAUGAUUCGCUUCCGAAAAGUAACAAAUUUUUUAAAAAUUUCGAAAACUAGGUUAUUAUACAUGUAUGCUAAAUGUAAGGGAUACAUAUUUAGUUCGCACAUUUUCUAUCGUUUUGUGCAAAUAAGUCAAAUAUUACGUGCCCAUUUAGCUUUUCACUUAAUCACCCCCAGAGUAGUUUAGGAGUAGGACGAUUUGUGAUUAAAAGACUAAAAUUCGUUACACCCGCGGGGCGAUAUAUUUUCGUUAUAUUCCAAUUUUUAGUUUUUAUAAUUGACUCUGAAAAAAGGUAUUUUUCAGAUUCAAUUAAAACUAAAUAAUUCCGUAGUCAUGAAAAUUAUAGGUUUUGCUUUAACAAUCACCAAGAUAACGAUAAGAAUAAAUCUCCAUGAAAAAAUAAUCCUCUUCUAAAAAAUUAGGCAUGGUUAAAACCACGUGGUAAUUAAAUAUAACCUAAUUUGUCUGGUAAAAUGCAAAUAUUACGAAGUGAAGAAGCUGAAUAAGGGUAAAUUUCAUGUUUUUGAAAAGAUAACUUAAUAUAAAUUGAUACAGUUAAACAAUAAUUUAACAAAGGUUACCCAUAAAUUGGGAGUAUUUCUCUUAUAAAUGAGCGCUUUUAUAGGCGCGCCACGUGCCUCAUUAAAUAGUUAUAAAACGGAGCGAGCUAUGUAUACGAAUACCAAAAAUUAUACAUACGCCAAAUUAUUAGGAAGGGGAGAAAUUAUAUUUUUAGUGAAAAGAUUGUAAUUUCAUUGAAAAUUUUCAACAUAAAAAUAUGUAGUGGUUUGCUUAUCAUUGUAAGAUUCUCAAACCAGGUUAAAUCCAAUUAAACAUUGACAUUUCGAAGGGUUAAAAUUUGCCAAUUUUUGUAGUAAGGUUCCACAUGAAAGUAUCAAUAUUUAUUUACUUGAGCGGGAGUGACGACGACGCUAUGUAACUUUUAUCUUGGUCAUGUUAAUCCGUCCUAAUUCCUCUUAAUUAUGUCAAUUUUUUUAUUUAAAGUAAAUUUUCACAUCUAAUUACGGGCUAAUUGUGCUAGACCGUAAAGACGGGGUAAGAAAACAAUUUUUUCGUUUUUUUUGAAUAAGGUAUUUUUAACCAUGUUUUUUAUCAUGAUUUUUAAGUUGGCAGGUGCCAAUAUUUAGUUACUCACAGUUUGUUGGUUUUAUAGCAUUUAUUUUCAUACAUACAUCGUCCUCCCUGAAUAAUUGUAAUUUGCAGGGAGGAUCACGUUAAAUAUUUUACCAGGUUUAAUACGAGUGUUAAUGUCACGAUGUUAGUGAAGAGUUACAAACCGGAAGUUAAUGGACAGGUUUUAGUCAAAUGCAUUAGUUUUAAGAAAUGAAAAAAUAUGUAUUUUACUAUAUUUAUCGACACAAUCAUAGUUUGACAUUUAACAAAUUUUGGGGGUUUAUCUAUGUAUACCUCAGAAAUUUAGAAAUACAUAUGUAAAUAAGUAUAUUAGUUUCACUUCCUUGAAUAAAUGUACUAUUGAAGGAAGGAAGAUCAAAGUUGAAAUUGAGUUAGGUGUAAAUUCUCAAUUAUCACACAAAUCAAUUAUUACAAAUUUUAAGUUGGUCCAAGAAACAAGAUUUUUCCAUGGGGAAUCGUCAAAAGAGGAAGCUAUUGAUUAAAGCGUUACAUACGAUCCAGUGAUUCGAUGGUGGGAUUGUGUCCAAGGUCUCCUUAAUGUUGCACCAGUAACGAUUAGUACCUGGAAUUGAUACACGUCUUAUCCUUAUAGUCCCUCUCUAGCUUGGAACAAUAAUCCCAGUGCUUUUAAGCCUGGUCCACAAGCAAUCAGAGUUGUUCCAAUUAUUCAACUUGGAUAAUCACGCAUGUGCUUAUCACAUUAUUAUUCGAAAUGACCUUAUCAUAAGUAAUUUUUUGUAUUACUAUGCAUGUAACAACUAUCUGAACAGAUGCUCCCAUAUGGUAUGAAAACAGAGUGCCAUUUUGUACUUUACAAAUUAAAUAUUAUGCAUGACAAACACUGGUGGCAGAAGAGUUAUUUUGAAUAAUAAGUUUCAAAGUUACAGUUCAGUUUUGACAAAAAGUACAAAAACACAACGUGUGAAUUUAAUUCGUACCUUCAUAAUAUUUGUGUAAUACACAAAUAUGUAUUUACAUAUUUUACAUAAUUAUUUGCCUAAUUAUGUACAUUUUAUGUAGUGGACAAGCAAUUAAUUUAGAUAAUUAUGUACAUAAUUAGUCGGGUAUUUGUUGUUAGGAUUUACAUAUUUCAAAAAAUGGCAGAAAUUUGGAGGGUUAGUAAUAAUUUUAAUUUAAUUGUAGAUAUAUUUACACACAAUUAAUUGUACAUUUGUACUGUACAAUUGUAAUUACAAAUUAUUUGUACGUCGCUAAUUUUAAUAUUUUUUUGUAAUGUUAUCUUAAAUAAAGUACAUACAAUUAUUUCCAUGCGUAUGUGUAACCCUGCAUAUAAUUGAUAUUUGUACAAAUUAUUAUAAUUAUUAAUGUGUUUUAACAUGUGGGAAUGAGCGAUAUGAAAAAAUAAAGUAACUUGCAGAAAAUAAAA